GCCCCCUUCGUCUAGCGGCCCAGGACAUAGGAUUCUCAGUCCUGUAACACCGGUUCGAUUCCGGUAGGGGGUA
rnacentral:tRNA from 1 species